rnacentral:rRNA from 1 species
UAAUUGAAGAGUUUGAUCAUGGCUCAGAUUGAACGCUGGCGGCAGGCCUAACACAUGCAAGUCGAGCGGUAACAGGAGAAAGCUUGCUUUCUUGCUGACGAGCGGCGGACGGGUGAGUAAUGUAUGGGGAUCUGCCCGAUAGAGGGGGAUAACUACUGGAAACGGUGGCUAAUACCGCAUAAUGUCUACGGACCAAAGCAGGGGCUCUUCGGACCUUGCACUAUCGGAUGAACCCAUAUGGGAUUAGCUAGUAGGUGGGGUAAAGGCUCACCUAGGCGACGAUCUCUAGCUGGUCUGAGAGGAUGAUCAGCCACACUGGG